rnacentral:rRNA from 1 species
CCUACGGGGGGCAGCAGUGAGGAAUAUUGGUCAAUGGACGAGAGUCUGAACCAGCCAAGUAGCGUGAAGGAUGACUGCCCUAUGGGUUGUAAACUUCUUUUAUAAAGGAAUAAAACGAGGCACGUGUGCCUUUUUGCAUGUACUUUAUGAAUAAGGAUCGGCUAACUCCGUGCCAGCAGCCGCGGUAAUACGGAGGAUCCGAGCGUUAUCCGGCUUUAUUGGGUUUAAAGGGAGCGUAGAUGGGUUGUUAAGUCAGUUGUGAAAGUUUGCGGCGCAACCGUAAAAUUGCAAUUGAUACUGGCAGUCGUGAGUACAGUUGAGGUAGGCGGAAUUCGUGGUGUAGCGGUGAAAUGCUUAGAUAUCACGAAGAACCCCGAUUGCGAAGGCAGCUUACUAAACUGUGACUGACAUUGAUGCUCGAAAGUGUGGGUAUCAAACAGGAUUAGAUACCCUAGUAGUC